GUCCACGCCGUAACGAUGUCGACUAGCCGUUGGAGCCUUGAGCUCUUAGUGGCGCAGCUAACGCAUUAAGUCGACCGCCUGGGAGUACGGCCGCAAGGUUAAACUCAAAUGAAUUGACGGGGCCCGCACAAGCGGUGGAGCAUGUGGUUUAAUUCGAAGCAACGCGAAGAACCUUACCUGGCCUUGACAUGCUGAGAACUUUCCAGAGAUGGAUUGGUGCCUUCGGGAACAUAGAGACAGGUGCUGCAUGGCUGUCGU
rnacentral:rRNA from 1 species